rnacentral:rRNA from 1 species
GAUGAACGCUGGCGGCGUGCCUAAUACAUGCGAGUCGAGCGAACAGACGAUGAUCUUGCUCCUCGGACGUUAGCCGCGGGCGGGUGAGUAACACGUGUAUAACCUACCUAUAAUAGUGGGAUAACUUCGGGAAAGCGGAUCUAAUCCCGGAGAAUAUAUUGAACCGCGUGGUGCAAUGGUGAAAGUCGGCGGUGGGGUCACUUAUAGAGGGAUCCUCGCCUCAUUAGCGGGUUGUGACGGUAACGGAUUAUGAAGGGAACGAGGCGUAGCCGAACUGAGAGGGUGGUCGGCCGGCCUGGAAGUGAGACACGGCACAGACGCCUACGGGAGGGAGCAGUAGGGAAUCGUGCGCAAUGGGCGAAAGCUUGACGGAGCAACGCCGAGUGCGUGAUGAAGGUCUUCGGAUCGUAAAACUCUGUUAUCAGGGAGGAACACAUGUGUAAGUAACUCUGAACGUCUUGAAGGUAAAUAAUCAGAGAGCCACGGCUAAAUAAGUG